rnacentral:rRNA from 1 species
GGAUGCGAUCAUACCAGCACUAAAGCACCGGAUCCCAUCAGAACUCCGAAGUUAAGCGUGCUUGGGCAAGAGUAGUACUAGGAUGGGUGACCUCCUGGGAAGUCCUCGUGUUGCGUUCC